rnacentral:ribozyme from 1 species
GAAAAAAAAAAAAUUACAAAAGUAUAAAUCAGACAGACACCUAUUAUUGAUGGUCUUUUUCAUAGAAGUGCUAUCAGUGCUGUAUUUUUUUUAUUUUUUUUCAGUCACUC